UGUUCCUAGCUUGAUACGGGACUUGGUCAAACCAGAGGAUUGGGCUGCUUUUGUGACGUCACGUCGUGAUAGGCAAUUUCAAGAAUUAAGUUCCCAAAAUAAGGAAAGAGUAAAGAAGAAUGAGUAUCCCUACCGAAAGGGCCGCUUGGGUUAUGCGGGCCUUGAGCAAGAGGUGACUCAGCAGGAGGGAUCAGAUGUCACUGUAUCACGUCAGAUGCUGUGGGCACUGGCCAGGCAAAAUAAAGAUGGCCAAAUUGAUAAUCCUCGCGUUAAGGAGGUCGUGGACAGGAUGGAGAGUUUGUCCCAGGAAGUUUCGCAGGGGGCAUAUUCUGCAGAUGACCAGGAUAUAUUGAGGAGGGCAUUGGGGACUCCUGACCAUCCUGGUCUUCUUAGGGGUGUCGGUUAUGGAGUCACCAAGAGAGAUUAC